AUCGAACGCUGGCGGCAGGCCUAACACAUGCAAGUCGAACGAGUGGCGGACGGGUGAGUCAUGUCUGGGAACCUGCCCUAUGGAGGGGGAUAACUACGGGAAACGGUAGCUAAUACCGCAUACCAUCGGAUUAGCCCUGCUGGGAUUAUCCAGUAGUUGGGGUAACGGCUCACCUAGGCCACGAUCCCUAGCUGGUCUGAGAGGAUGACAGGCCACACUGGAACUGAGACACGUUCCAGACUCCUACGGGAGGCAGCAGUGGGGAAUAUUGCACAAUGGGCGCAAGCCUGAUGCAGCCAUGCCGCGUGAAUGAAGAAGGCCUUCGGGUUGUAAAGUACUUUCAGCGAGGAGGCGGUACUCGCAGAAGAAGCACCGGCUAACUCCGUGCCAGCAGCCGCGGUAAUAC
rnacentral:rRNA from 1 species